AGAGUUUGAUCCUGGCUCAGGACGAACGCUGGCGGCGUGCCUAACACAUGCAAGUCAAGGAGAAAAAGGUAGCAAUAUCUUGAGUAAACUGGCGAACGGGUGAGUAACACGUAGAUAACUUACCCUAUGAACGGGAAUAACUCCGCGAAAGCGGUGCUAAUACCCGAUAUUGUUCCGACAUGGCAUCAUGUCGGAAUGAAAUGUCCCAAAAGGAUGUCAUAGGAUGGGUCUGCGUCCCAUUAGAUAGUUGGCGGGGUAAUGGCCCACCAAGUCGACGAUGGGUAGCUGGUCUGAGAGGACGACCAGCCACACUGGAACUGAGACACGGUCCAGACUUCUACGGAAGGCAGCAGUGAGGAAUAUUGCUCAAUGGGCGAAAGCCUGAAGCAGCGACGCCGCGUGAAGGAUGAAAUCCGUUAGGAUGUAAACUUCUUUUCCGAGGGACGAAGAUAGCGCCAUGAGCGCUUGAUGACGGUACCUCGGGAAUAAGGAUCGGCCAACUACGUGCCAGCAGCCGCGGUAAUACGUAGGAUCCGAGCGUUGUCCGGAAUUACUGGGUGUAAAGGGUCCGCAGGUGGGCAAACAAGUCGGUGGUGAAAUCUUUCCGCUCAACGGAAAAACUGCCCCCGAAACUGUUUGUCUUGAGUUCGAGAGAGGAUGAUGGAAUUCAUGGUGUAGCGGUGAAAUGCGUAGAUAUCAUGAAGAACACCGGUUGCGAAGGCGAUCAUCUGGCUCGAUACUGACACUCAGGGACGAAAGCGUGGGGAUCAAACAGGAUUAGAUACCCUGGUAGUCC
rnacentral:rRNA from 1 species